ACAAUUUAUAGUGUUUUUCUGUUGUGGGUGCGUGUGGAUUAAGGUCACCCUUAGGAUUUGCAUUGCAAUAACUUAAAUGUUUGGUGACUAUGGGUGCAUGUGGAUUAAUGUCACCCUGGACUGUGUGCCCUACAAUAAUUUAUUGUUCUCUGUCAUGGGUGCGUGUGGAUUAAAGUCACCCUUAGGGUAUGCAUUGG